rnacentral:lncRNA from 1 species
UGUUUCUACAGCACAGCCAGGCUCAGCCUGACUGAUCCAGGCUCCAAAGGAAAGUACCGUACAGGAAGCCUGGGUGGUUCCCAGAGGCCUCCCUUGGAAGCUGAGAGGCAGCCGGAGAAGCUGUAAAGUGUGCUUGCGGAGAGGAAGAGAGGAGAGGGAUGUUACGGGCCUGGGGACACCUAGGAGGGGUGCGGAGAGGAAGAGAGGAGAGGAGGAGAGUGAUGUUACGGGCCUGGAGACGUCUAGGAGGGGUGCGGAGAGGAAGAGAGGAGAGGAGGAGAGUGAUGUUAUGGGCCUGGGGAUACCUAGGAGGGGUGCGGAGAGGAAGAGAGGAGAGGAGGAAAGUGAUGUUACAGGCCUGGGGAUGCAUUGAGAAGAUCGAGUUGAGAAGAACUGAUGUCUUGAUAAUAUCAAGUCUUCCUAAUAAUAAACAUUGAAUAGUUCCCCAUGUAGUUAUUUCUUUAUUUUAUCACAGUUUUAUUUUAAAAAAUAUCUUUGUCUGGUUUGGGUAUUAAGGUAAGACUGACCUAAUAGAAUGAGAGGAAGAAUUCCCUCUGCUUCUAUUCUCUGUAAGGAAUUGUAGAUAUUUGGUGUAAUGUUUUCCUUAAAUAUUUGGUAGAUUUCACCAAUAAACCCAUCUGGGCCUAGUGCUUUCUCUUUUUGAAGGUUAUUAAUUAUUGAUUCAAUUUUGUUGAUAGAUAGAUGGCUUUCAGAUUGUCUAUUUCUUCUUGCGUGAAUUUU